AUGCAUUGGACAUUUCCUCAGCAAUUCUUUGAAUCUCUCCCAAGCCUCAUAAAAACUUUAAUCCUCUAUUUGCUUGAAUGAAGUCAGAUCGUUUCGUAGCUU